rnacentral:rRNA from 1 species
GACGUAGGGCGCGAGCGUUGUCCGGAUUUAUUGGGCGUAAAGAGCUCGUAGGCGGCUUGUCGCGUCGUCCGUGAAAACUUGGGGCUCAACCCCAAGCUUGCGGUCGAUACGGGCAGGCUAGAGUUCGGUAGGGGAGACUGGAAUUCCCGGUGUAGUGGUGAAAUGCGUAGAUAUCGGGAGGAACACCAGUGGCGAAGGCGACUACCUGGCCUGUCCUUGACGCUGAGGCGCGAAAGCUAGGGGAGCAAACGGG